rnacentral:rRNA from 1 species
UUAAGCGACUAAGCGUACACGGUGGAUGCCCUGGCAGUCAGAGGCGAUGAAGGACGUGCUAAUCUGCGAAAAGCGCCGGCGAGGUGAUAUGAACCCUUGACCCGGCGAUGUCCGAAUGGGGAAACCCAGUGUGAUUCGUCACACUAUCGUUAACUGAAUACAUAGGUUAACGAGGCGAACCGGGGGAACUGAAACAUCUAAGUACCCCGAGGAAAAGAAAUCAACCGAGAUUCCCCCAGUAGCGGCGAGCGAACGGGGAGCAGCCCGGAGUCUGAAUCAGCUUGUGUGUUAGUGGAACGGUCUGGAAAGUCCGACGGUACAGGGUGAUAGUCCCGUACACGAAAGCACACUUGCUGUGAACUCGAAGAGUAGGGCGGGACACGUGGUAUCCUGUCUGAAUAUGGGGGGACCAUCCUCCAAGGCUAAAUACUCCUGACUGACCGAUAGUGAACCAGUACCGUGAGGGAAAGGCGAAAAGAACCCCGGCGAGGGGAGUGAAAAAGAACCUGAAACCGUGUACGUACAAGCAGUGGGAGCACCUUCGUGGUGUGACUGCGUACCUUUUGUAUAAUGGGUCAGCGACUUAUAUUCUGUAGCAAGGUUAACCGUAUAGGGGAGCCGAAGGGAAACCGAGUCUUAACUGGGCGUUAAGUUGCAGGGUAUAGACCCGAAACCCGGUGAUCUAGCCAUGGGCAGGUUGAAGGUUGGGUAACACUAACUGGAGGACCGAACCGACUAAUGUUGAAAAAUUAGCGGAUGACCUGUGGCUGGGGGUGAAAGGCCAAUCAAACCGGGAGAUAGCUGGUUCUCCCCGAAAGCUAUUUAGGUAGCGCCUCGUGAACUCAUCUUCGGGGGUAGAGCACUGUUUCGGCUAGGGGGCCAUCCCGGCUUACCAACCCGAUGCAAACUACGAAUACCGAAGAAUGUUAUCACGGGAGACACACGGCGGGUGCUAACGUCCGUCGUGAAGAGGGAAACAACCCAGACCGCCAGCUAAGGUCCCAAAGUCAUGGUUAAGUGGGAAACGAUGUGGGAAGGCACAGACAGCCAGGAUGUUGGCUUAGAAGCAGCCAUCAUUUAAAGAAAGCGUAAUAGCUCACUGGUCGAGUCGGCCUGCGCGGAAGAUGUAACGGGGCUAAACCAUGCACCGAAGCUGCGGCAGCGACACUAUGUGUUGUUGGGUAGGGGAGCGUUCUGUAAGCCGUUGAAGGUGUGCUGUGAGGCAUGCUGGAGGUAUCAGAAGUGCGAAUGCUGACAUAAGUAACGAUAAAGCGGGUGAAAAGCCCGCUCGCCGGAAGACCAAGGGUUCCUGUCCAACGUUAAUCGGGGCAGGGUGAGUCGACCCCUAAGGCGAGGCCGAAAGGCGUAGUCGAUGGGAAACAGGUUAAUAUUCCUGUACUUGGUGUUACUGCGAAGGGGGGACGGAGAAGGCUAUGUCAGCCGGGCGACGGUUGUCCCGGUUUAAGCAUGUAGGCGGAGGUUCCAGGUAAAUCCGGUACCUUAUUAACGCUGAGGUGUGAUGACGAGGCACUACGGUGCUGAAGUGAUAAAUGCCCUGCUUCCAGGAAAAGCCUCUAAGCAUCAGGUAACACGAAAUCGUACCCCAAACCGACACAGGUGGUCAGGUAGAGAAUACCAAGGCGCUUGAGAGAACUCGGGUGAAGGAACUAGGCAAAAUGGUGCCGUAACUUCGGGAGAAGGCACGCUGAUGUGUAGGUGAAGUCCCUGCGGACGGAGCUGAAAUCAGUCGAAGAUACCAGCUGGCUGCAACUGUUUAUUAAAAACACAGCACUGUGCAAACACGAAAGUGGACGUAUACGGUGUGACGCCUGCCCGGUGCCGGAAGGUUAAUUGAUGGGGUUAGCUGUAAGGCGAAGCUCUUGAUCGAAGCCCCGGUAAACGGCGGCCGUAACUAUAACGGUCCUAAGGUAGCGAAAUUCCUUGUCGGGUAAGUUCCGACCUGCACGAAUGGCGUAAUGAUGGCCAGGCUGUCUCCACCCGAGACUCAGUGAAAUUGAACUCGCUGUGAAGAUGCAGUGUACCCGCGGCAAGACGGAAAGACCCCGUGAACCUUUACUAUAGCUUGACACUGAACACUGGUCCUUGAUGUGUAGGAUAGGUGGGAGGCUUUGAAGCGUGGACGCCAGUCUGCGUGGAGCCGCCCUUGAAAUACCACCCUUUAAUGGCUGGUGUUCUAACGUAGACCCGUAAUCCGGGUUGCGGACAGUGUCUGGUGGGUAGUUUGACUGGGGCGGUCUCCUCCCAAAGAGUAACGGAGGAGCACGAAGGUUGGCUAAUCCUGGUCGGACAUCAGGAGGUUAGUGCAAUGGCAUAAGCCAGCUUGACUGCGAGCGUGACGGCGCGAGCAGGUGCGAAAGCAGGUCAUAGUGAUCCGGUGGUUCUGAAUGGAAGGGCCAUCGCUCAACGGAUAAAAGGUACUCCGGGGAUAACAGGCUGAUACCGCCCAAGAGUUCAUAUCGACGGCGGUGUUUGGCACCUCGAUGUCGGCUCAUCACAUCCUGGGGCUGAAGUAGGUCCCAAGGGUAUGGCUGUUCGCCAUUUAAAGUGGUACGCGAGCUGGGUUUAGAACGUCGUGAGACAGUUCGGUCCCUAUCUGCCGUGGGCGCUGGAGAAUUGAGGGGGGCUGCUCCUAGUACGAGAGGACCGGAGUGGACGCAUCACUGGUGUUCGGGUUGUCAUGCCAAUGGCACUGCCCGGUAGCUAAAUGCGGAAGAGAUAAGUGCUGAAAGCAUCUAAGCACGAAACUUGCCCCGAGAUGAGUUCUCCCUGAGACUUUAAGUCUCCUGAAGGAACGUUAAAGACGAUGACGUUGAUAGGUCGGGUGUGUAAGCGCAGCGAUGCGUUGAGCUAACCGAUACUAAUGAACCGUGAGGCUUAACCUU